rnacentral:lncRNA from 1 species
AUUGUGGAUCCUUACAAUAUUCAAGCUCUGAAAUUAUAUUUGAUUUAGGUGUAAUGCAACCAAAUCUAUUAUUGAAGGUUUAGUCAUAAUGUGAUGAAACAUCCUCAAGCUGUUGUACUUGAAUGGAUUGAGAUCAUUGUUGCUAUAUUAUUUGUAGAGAUAAUGAAAAACAAGUGCUUGAAGAACUGACACAUGGUGUUUUGGUUGUAAUUGCAAGCAUAUCUUUUUCUUUUAAAAGUCUCUUACCAUUCUUUCAACCUCAACAAUGGAUUUUCAAUUCAAUGAAGUUUUUUGUAUGCUAGAUGUUGGUAUUUUUUUCUAUUAUAGUGUACUAAAAUAGAUCACAAAAAUCAAUACAAUCUUUAGAGUAAGAAUAUGUAUUUUUUCAUUUUUUUUUGCUUAAGUGAAGACUUGUAUAUUAAAUGCAAUAAUGAUCUUCACUAUACAAGUAUCCACAUUUGUCUACAACUACCUAUGAUUCAAUUCCUUGUUUAUGAACAAUACUAAUCAAAAAUUCAAUUUCAUAUCUGCACAAGUAAACUUUUAUCACAAUUAGGCCUCCUCUGUUGAUAUCAUUUUUAUAUCAUAAGCUCAUGCUUCCAAAGGCACUUAUAAAUGAUAUUUUUUUUAAAAUUAAUAUGUGCUUUGAAUAAAGACGUGAUAAAUAAUUG